rfam:Gossypium raimondii Chr12_contig_429, whole genome shotgun sequence.
AUCCCAUGAUGAGGACAGUUACGAAGUAACUCCUUGAAUCGCUCCCAAGCCUUAUACAAAGACUCAUCACCUAGUUGCUGGAAAGUUGUGUUCUCGUUCCUCAACUU